rnacentral:rRNA from 1 species
GACGAACGCUGGCGGCGUGCCUAAUACAUGCAAGUCGAGCGGACCAAAGGGAGCUUGCUCCUGGAGGUUAGCGGCGAACGGGUGAGUAACACGUGGGCAACCUGCCUGUAAGACUGGGAUAACAUCGAGAAAUCGGUGCUAAUACCGGAUAAUAAAAAGAACUGCAUGGUUCUUUUUUGAAAGAUGGUUUCGGCUAUCACUUACAGAUGGGCCCGCGGCGCAUUAGCUAGUUGGUGAGGUAACGGCUCACCAAGGCAACGAUGCGUAGCCGACCUGAGAGGGUGAUCGGCCACACUGGGACUGAGACACGGCCCAGACUCCUACGGGAGGCAGCAGUAGGGAAUCUUCCGCAAAUGGACGAAAGUCUGACGGAGCAACGCCGCGUGAGUGAUGAAGGUUUUCGGAUCGUAAAACUCUGUUGUUAGGGAAGAACAAGUGCCGUUCGAAAGGGCGGCACCUUGACGGUACCUAACGAGAAAGCCACGGCUAACUACGUGCCAGCAGCCGCGGUAAAG